ACCAACACCAGAGAGAGCAGCUGAGGAAUUCUGUCUCCUGGGGAAGAGUUUUCAGGACAUGCUGGGGUCUCGCUAACUUCAUUUUUCUUUCAUGUUGCUGCCUGUGUCCUGCUCACUGCUGCUUUCCCUAGAUUUCUUCCCAGUGCUACUGGAGAAAAGGGGGCGGCUUUUAGGAUCCAGUACGUGUGUGCCUGCCUCCGGGAAAUGGGUUUAUAGAUUCAUUUACAGGAGUUGCAAAGGUAGGCAGCAAUUUAAUACUACAAUCAAACAUCAGAAUCAUGGGCUCAGCUGGAAAACCCAGAAAAGCCACAUGGACAAGAGACUGCAGUGCAGCAAUCCCGAGUACUGAUGGGAUUGAAAAACCUUUGUCUUCUGACUGAGCAUCAAAGACAGUCUAAUCUACAUAGCCUUGCGCUGCAAAGGAGCCUUGGUAAUGCAGCGCCGUAUCCUGCACUGAUUUUCACACCCUCACUACUUCAGUGGGGCAAAGAGAAACAAGAAUUGCAGAGUUCAGCUAAAGACAGCAUUCCUCGGGGAACUCUCGACUGCAACUGAUGUGGUGGCCAUCCCCUCUUACCAAGUGUGAUAAGCUCAGCCAGUCUAAGCCUGGUGUCUAUUGGAAGCAUUGGUACCUAUAUUUCUACUGGUAAUGAAUUCCCAUCCAUUGUACGGAAAUAGGUAUGUCCGCUGAAGCAAUGUGAACAUUGUUUAUGCUGGCUGUUUUCCCAAAGCAACAUUGUAACCAUCCUUGAAUACUCAUAAGUGGAUGAACUGAGCAGCAUGAUGUUUCUGUACAUCAGAGGACAAAAAAUGCAAUUAAACAUCUUUGGAAAGGACCAAAAGCAUUUUCUACCUUUUCAAAAUAACAUUCAAGGAAAUCGGCAGCUAGCGAUUGUAAUUGAGAUGGAUGAAAAGGCAUCUGACUUCCCCCAAAGCAUUUCAAGCAACGUACUUGAGAAGAAUAUGAAGUGCUGCUGCUCUCUAAAGAUCGCCACACUGUGGCUCAAUUAUUAAUGACUAGGAACAAUUUCAUAUUUAAUCUACAGACUAUUAAUUACACCGCAGAAGAGCAACACACCAUCCUGAAAGCCCCUCUCACAAACUGAAUAAUUUAGUGAUGCCCCAUAUUUUAAUCUGAUGUCAAGGAAGACAGUGACACAUCCCCUUCUGUGAACAAACUGAUGGCAUUUUGGACGGAGAUGAAUGUCCCAAAGGUAAACGGGUUUGAGGAUUUCAAAAGAUUCUCAAGAGCUGGUGGUGCCCAGUUCCCAGGUGAAUUUGAUGCUGGUGAAAAAUAACAGAGUGGUAGCUCUGGAGUGAGAAUUUCUCUGUAGCCAAAGUCAAUGUACAGCCUAGGCAGCAGCUGUGCAAGCUUUACUGUGCUACCUUGCAUGGCCUGGAUGGAGGAAAACCCCUAAGUAGGUGAGAGGGGUGUCGCAACUCUCUGACCCAUUGAAUCUGUGGCCUCUCUGCUGAGACAGUUGGACUGGUGGAGCAUGGUGAUGCAGAUACACGUCUACAGGCAAGGUCUGAAAACCACAAAGCCCAUGUUGCUGAGCAGCCGCCAGACGGAAAUAACGUUUGGUCCCAACCAUCCUGUACUAGAUGGCAGCUGGCGAGACAGAAGGGAAAGUGCCCAUCUGCUGGUCACCGUCCUCUGUGCUAUCCAGCCUCCUUUCUAACCCUUGUGUUUCCACAUGCAACACUGGGUGCUGGAGUGGAAAGGUUGGAAUUCAAGCAACAUCCUCCAGCACUUUGUAUUUCCCCUUUUAAGCCUGAAAUGUCUGGGGCCUGAAUCUGAUCUCACUUGCAAGGCAAGAGUAAUCCAUGGCAGUCAGCAAGAUUCAUACAGUCACAGAAUUUAAGGGCACAAGGCCACAAGGGACUAACUGACCAUUUAGUCUGACCUCCUGCGUAGCACGGGCCCCCAACACCUGCACACUAAAGCCAAUUGUAACAGGUAGUCCCAUGCUUCUGCUGAUCACAAUGAAGUGAACCUUCUCCAAGCACAAAAAAAAAGUGUUUAGGUAUGGCACAUGGGGUGUUACAGAGGGCCCAGACUCCAAGGCAUGGGCUUGCAAAGGCUGCCUGAUUGCCCUUGCCUGUUUUUAAGUAGAUGCCAGCUGUUCUUUAAACAAUCUCUUCCUAAGGUAAUAAGGCACACUGCUGAAAAGAGAUUCUCUCGGAUGAAAAGGGCAGAAAUUGAUAUAAAAUUAUCUGUAUUGCCUGGAAUUCUGACUAGAUAAAACCAUAUGUGGCGAAAACAAGCUUGUUUAAAAAAGAAAUGACUAUUUGGUCACUGCUUAAAAGUUGGUACUUAGACAUUCCAUGAAUUUUAAAAUAAAGACAUCAUGAGAUUUGAACAUUCUUUGACUACACACAAACUGCAGUAUCUAAUACCUUCCUUGCCCAUUAAAGAGCUGUGCUGGAAAGCAGAGCAUGUUAAGUAUUAUACUGAUAGAGUAGUUAGUUAAAUAGGAUAAUAGAACUGUGUUUGUAAGGGUUGGAGUCAAGGUAUAGAGACCACACAUAAACAAGGCCAUUACCAACCACGGUAAGCAGAGAGAGAGAAUUUCAUGGAUAUCUCCACAAAAGGCUUUGUAUAUUUAUAACAACCCUGCACAAUGGUUUGGAACACAGUCAGAGGGCUUUCAGAAUGAUUCUGGGAGUUAAAUAUCACUGCAUAAAUAUGUCUUACAUCACUUUGGAAUCAGCCAUAAACCCAGCUUCUAGGGGCUCUGACCCAAAGUGAGGCUGGAGCCUAGAGCCCUGCACCCCUUCAUUGAUUAAUGAUGGCAAACAUUUUUAGGCAGAGCACAAUGAAGGCAAAUAGAAAACGGUUUUGAGACACUGGGGUGUAAAAAUAAUUGUAUGAUCAUCAUGCUGAUUCUUUAUUUGUAUGAUGCUAGCACACACAGGUCAUGUGUGACCCCAUUGUGCUGAGCACUACGCAAAGUUAUACAACUAGAGCUGCUUGGAAAUUUUCUCAUGGAAUGUUUUUCCCUGGGAAAAUGCUAUUUCAUCAAAACCAAAUUUUUCCAUGGGAUUUUCAAUGAAAUUUCAUUUCGGAAUAAAAAGUGUUUUGAUAAGACUGAAGCAGAACAUGUUGAACGCAGUCAAAUGGAAUACUCAUUUUCAAAGGACAUUUGUUUGGAAAUUAAUUUUUUUAUAUUGUUACUUAUGUUGUUGUUUUUAAAAGUCUGAACUGGACAAAAAAAAUGGUUUUGAUUUUGUUUAAAUGGAAUAUCUCGACGGGCCCAAAAUGAGAUUAUUUUUCAAAGAUCUUCUUUCGUGAGACAUUUUGAUUUGAUUUUGGUUCUUGUUCCAGUUUGGAAUGGAAACAAAUGUUGAACCAUUGGGAUGUCCCGGGGGACAGAAAUUCCAAGUUUUGACCAACUCUCGUCACAACAUCUGUAAUGAUAUCUCAGACACAUAGGAGCUAGAUCCUCAGUGGGAUUUAUACCAGCUGAGGAUUUGGGUCACAAGAAUCUCUCAGAAGGAACCAUUCUGAUCAUCUGGUCCAACCUACUACAUCACACAGGCCAGAGAAUCUCACCCAGUGGUUCCCUCAUCAAGCCUCUAAGAUUCUUGGUGGAUUCUUUUCUAUCUGAGGGCUCCCUGCCUCCUCCAUGUGCAAACAGAGCCACAAACUGAAACGAACAUGGCUUUUGUGUGUGUGUAAGUUUCAGUCUACUCUUCUCUGGCAGGUGGAGGAGAAAAGCAGAGAGGGUAGAGGAGCAAGAGAGGCUGGGCAGAGGAGCUUAUUCUUUAGCAUGUAGGAGAGCAGCAAACAGAGGGAUGCAAAUGUCAGGAACCUCCAUGGCUGGAAAUCACAUAGAAGGAGUGAAUUGGUGAGUCAACUCUCUUGAUAUUACCAAAUGAAGAUCAACCGCUAGUGGAAACAUGCUCUGCUUCCCAAGCUGAGAUGUAAAGUUAAGAGCAAAUGAAAUUCAUGUCCCUUCCCUAUGUUGUAGAUGAUGAAGAUGACAAAAAAGACAGACUUUUCCAGAUGGUUUGAAAUGUAAAUCAAAAAUGGAGAAAUUAAUCUGGGCACUUUCCACUCACCCAUGUGUCUUUAACAUACUAACCCCACAGCCAAAUGGUUCCUGCAAGACUCAAGACAGCUACAGGGUAUAAAUAAAGUUCACAGCCAAUCAAUGGAGGCUGCUGAUACCUGAAGGCAGGUAGAGUCUCCUUCAUGAUAGGGAGCAGACAGGACUCAGCAGUAAUGAAUAUAGAGUAGACUCCUUCUUAAGGCUGCUGGACCCAGGCAGAUCCUGUGGUUCUCUCUGAUUCCUUUUGUUACAACACAGGGUCACUGAGAAGUCAUAUAAGAAACUGCUGACUACAUGACAGCAGCGUACAAAGAUGCUGCUCAGAUCCAAUGUACCAAUAGUUCCUAUGAUUCAAAACAGCCUAGUCAGAGCAACCCUGCAUGCCCUGAGAGCCACCUCUGCAAGGAAUUCAGACUCUGUGUAAAGUAAUUGCAAGAGAUCACCAUCCAAAGCAUAUUGAUUGCUUUAAUUUCAAUAAAUAGGUAUUUUGUAUUUACAAAAACUUUACUCUGCAACUGCUGCAAAAUCCGAAAUGAAGCGAUACAGCAGUGCGGCACUAUCCAUAAUAAAAUGCUAAUUGCAAUUCAUAAAUUAUAUUGGGCUGCACAGGACUAUUGAGGAGCCCUGAAUGAAAUGUAGUGUUCAAUUUAUCCUAUGCAUGCUGCCAACUAUGCUGCCAGCCUCCUCCAUGUCCCCCUGUGUUAUUUUGUCAUUUCUGUACUAUCACCAAUUUAUCACAAAGGCAACUGAACCCUGCGAUGUCCACCCCCCAGGUGACUGUGUCCUCGCUACUCUAUGACUUCUAAAUUAAAUUGUCAAAACAUAUUAUGGAGAAAAAUAUUGUGAAGGGAAAGUUCUUUACCCCUUUAUCCCAUCGGAGGAGUGAAUCUGUUUGAUUGGUGGAAGACAAAUCUGCUUCAUUAUCCUUUCCACUAGCAUAUUUCUUCACUCAAAGCCAUCAGGAAAGAUACUCAGUGCUGAAGUCUUGAAAUAAAUGAUGAUCUUCCUGCAGUAGGUGUGUAUGCCACAGAGACACUUGGCAAUGGGUCCUCUGUUCUUUGCAAACAACUUUCACCUCAGACCUGCCAAACUCACUCCACCAAACACAUAUCUUGCAGGGUAUUUAUCCAUAAGGGGUAUCAUGUGAGGUGAUUACAGAAAGCUCAUAACUUGUCAAGACUCAUAAUCAUACUAAGACGUGUGUAUGGGAAAUAUUUAAGGAACAGUGUGUUUAUAGUCAAGGUAUGUUUUCUGGACUUGGAGUUGAAGGUCAUGGCCCAGUCAUGCCACGGGGAGCUGUCACUCUGCCCUGUCUGGCCCAUGAUGCAAUAUUAGGUUCAAUUGCUUAGCCUCUUUCAAUACUAACACAUUGAAUGGGAAACCAUCAGAGGCCACGACAGAGUCGAAACCGCUUAAAGGUAAAAUAGAAACUGCAGCAAGACAGGGGCGAAUAGAAACAAAUAUUCUGUCUGCGAAUAGAAACAAUAGCCUGUUUCAAUAUCACAGAGUGAGGGGAAGGAUGUUCUGGGUCCAUUCGCUGAGGAAACCCUCCGUGGGGAGCAGGGGUGAGAUGGGACAUUCAUGGAUGCUUGGAUUCUGGGUUGUCUGAAAUCAGCCAGCUCUACAAAAGACUGAACUUCAGGGGAAAAUCAGUUGUAUUAGAUAGGAAAGGAGCCACUGAUAAGUGUAGACCCAGAUUCAUGUUCUAUGUUUUGUUUUGUAUUGUA